rnacentral:sRNA from 1 species
GGCCGCCCAUGAAAGCGCACCCAUGGCGGCAUCUGCAAACAUAGAGAAUUCUGGGCUUCCACACAACUCCAGUGCUAACUCAACAGAGACUCUCCAACAUGUGCCUUCUGACCAUACAAAUGAAACUUCCAACAGUACUGUGAAACCACCAACUUCAAUUGCCUCAGACUCCAGCAAUACAACGGUCACCACCAUGAAACCUACAGCAGCAUCUAAUACAACAACACCAGGGAUGGUCUCAACAAAUAUGACUUCUACCACCUUAAAGUCUACACCCAAAACAACAAGUGUUUCACAGAACACAUCUCAGAUAUCAACAUCCACGAUGACAGUAACCCACAAUAGUUCAGUGACAUCUGCUUCUUCAUCAGUAACAAGUAUGUAUUAAAGCUGACCUUUUUUUCCUAUGCUGCAAGGAGUUAAAUGCCACAUUUAAGUCAUUAUUCUGUCUGGCAAAAAUAAUAUAGAAACUUUAUAUGCCUAGAUUUCCCUUAAUUCCUAAUUAAAUGUUCUUAACACAGAAAAUCAGAGAGCUUUAAUUACAAUGU